rnacentral:rRNA from 1 species
AUUGAACGCUGGCGGCAUGCUUUACACAUGCAAGUCGAACGGCAGCACGGGGGCAACCCUGGUGGCGAGUGGCGAACGGGUGAGUAAUAUAUCGGAACGUACCCGGAAAUGGGGGAUAACGUAGCGAAAGUUACGCUAAUACCGCAUAUGCCCUAAGGGGGAAAGCGGGGGAUUCGCAAGAACCUCGCGUUUUCGGAGCGGCCGAUAUCGGAUUAGCUAGUAGGUGAGGUAAAGGCUCACCUAGGCGACGAUCCGUAGCUGGUCUGAGAGGACGACCAGCCACACUGGAACUGAGACACGGCCCAGACUCCUACGGGAGGCAGCAGUGGGGAAUUUUGGACAAUGGGCGAAAGCCUGAUCCAGCCAUGCCGCGUGAGUGAAGAAGG